rnacentral:rRNA from 1 species
AGUGAACGCUGGCGGUAGGCCUAACACAUGCAAGUCGAACGGCAGCACAGUAAGAGCUUGCUCUUACGGGUGGCGAGUGGCGGACGGGUGCGGAAUACAUCGGAAUCUACUUUUUCGUGGGGGAUAACGUAGGGACACUUACGCUAAUACCGCAUACGACCUACGGGUGAAAGCAGGGGAUCUUCGGACCUUGCGCGAUUGAAUGAGCCGAUGUCGGAUUAGCUAGUUGGCGGGGUAAAGGCCCACCAAGGCGACGAUCCGUAGCUGGUCUGAGAGGAUGAUCAGCCACACUGGAACUGAGACACGGUCCAGACUCCUACGGGAGGCAGCAGUGGGGAAUAUUGGACAAUGGGCGCAAGCCUGAUCCAGCCAUGCCGCGUGGGUGAAGAAGGCCUUCGGGUUGUAAAGCCCUUUUGUUGGGAAAGAAAAGCAGCAGGUUAAUACCCCGCUGUUCUGACGGUACCCAAAGAAUAAGCACCGGCUAACUUCGUG